AGAGUUUGAUCCUGGCUCAGAGCGAACGCUGGCGGAAUGCUUAACACAUGCAAGUCGCACGGGGGCUUCGGCCUUAGUGGCGGACGGGUGAGUAACGCGUAGGAACGUGUCUUGGGGUGGGGGAUAACGCUGGGAAACUGGCGCUAAUACCGCAUGUCUGCUGCGGCAGAAAGCCUUCGGGUGCCUUGAGAGCGGCCUGCGUCCGAUUAGCUAGUUGGUGGGGUAGAGGCUUACCAAGGCUUCGAUCGGUAGCUGGUCUGAGAGGACGAUCAGCCACACUGGGACUGAGACACGGCCCAGACUCCUACGGGAGGCAGCAGUGGGGAAUAUUGGACAAUGGGCGGAAGCCUGAUCCAGCAAUUCCGCGUGGGUGAAGAAGGUCUUCGGAUUGUAAAGCCCUUUCGACAGGGACGAUGAUGACGGUACCUGUAGAAGAAGCCCCGGCUAACUUCGUGCCAGCAGCCGCGGUAAUACGAAGGGGGCUAGCGUUGCUCGGAAUUACUGGGCGUAAAGGGCGCGUAGGCGGCUGUGUUAGUCAGGCGUGAAAUUCCUGGGCUCAACCUGGGGACUGCGCUUGAUACGGCAUGGCUUGAGGAUGGAAGAGGCUCGCGGAAUUCCCAGUGUAGAGGUGAAAUUCGUAGAUAUUGGGAAGAACACCGGUGGCGAAGGCGGCGAGCUGGUCCAUUACUGACGCUGAGGCGCGACAGCGUGGGGAGCAAACAGGAUUAGAUACCCUAGUAGUCC
rnacentral:rRNA from 1 species